rnacentral:rRNA from 1 species
AGAUUGAACGCUGGCGGCAUGCCUUACACAUGCAAGUCGAACGGCAGCACGGGAGCAAUCCUGGUGGCGAGUGGCGAACGGGUGAGUAAUACAUCGGAACGUGCCCAAUCGUGGGGGAUAACGCAGCGAAAGCUGUGCUAAUACCGCAUAAGAUCUACGGAUGAAAGCAGGGGAUCGCAAGACCUUGCGCGAAUGGAGCGGCCGAUGGCAGAUUAGGUAGUUGGUGAGGUAAAGGCUCACCAAGCCUUCGAUCUGUAGCUGGUCUGAGAGGACGACCAGCCACGACUGGGACUGAGACACGGCCAGACUCCACGGAGGCAGCAGUGGGAAUUUGGACAAGUGGACGAAAGCCUGACUCAGCCAUCGCCG